GACGAACGCUGGCGGCGUGCCUAAUACAUGCAAGUAGAACGCUGAAGGAGGAGCUUGCUCUUCUGGAUGAGUUGCGAACGGGUGAGUAACGCGUAGGUAACCUGCCUGGUAGCGGGGGAUAACUAUUGGAAACGAUAGCUAAUACCGCAUAAGAGUAGAUGUUGCAUGACAUUUGCUUAAAAGGUGCAAUUGCAUCACUACCAGAUGGACCUGCGUUGUAUUAGCUAGUUGGUGGGGUAACGGCUCACCAAGGCGACGAUACAUAGCCGACCUGAGAGGGUGAUCGGCCACACUGGGACUGAGACACGGCCCAGACUCCUACGGGAGGCAGCAGUAGGGAAUCUUCGGCAAUGGACGGAAGUCUGACCGAGCAACGCCGCGUGAGUGAAGAAGGGUUUCGGAUCGUAAAGCUCUGUUGUAAGAGAAGAACGAGUGUGAGAGUGGAAAGUUCACACUGUGACGGUAGCUUACCAGAAAGGGACGGCUAACUACGUG
rnacentral:rRNA from 1 species